rnacentral:rRNA from 1 species
GACGAACGCUGGCGGCGCGCUUAACACAUGCAAGUCGAACGGAAAGGCCUGCUUUCCCUUGUGGAUUGCGGGUACUCGAGUGGCGAACGGGUGAGUAACACGUGAGUGAUCUGCCCCCAACUUGGGUAUAAGCCUGGGAAACUGGGUCUAAUUCCCGAUAGGACUGCAGGGUGGUGCCUGUGGUGGAAAACGAUUUUCUAGUGGUUGGGGAUGAGCUCGCGGCCUAUCAGCUUGUUGGUGGGGUAAUGGCCUACCAAGGCGGCGACGGGUAGCCGGCCUGAGAGGGUGGACGGCCACAUCGGGACUGAGAUACGGCCCAGACUCCUACGGGAGGCAGCAGUGGGGAAUAUUGCACAAUGGGCGGAAGCCUGAUGCAGCGACGCCGCGUGGGGGAUGACGGCCUUCGGGUUGUAAACUCCUUUCGACCGCGAGGAAGCCACCUGGUUGGAAGGGUGGUGACGGUAGUGGUAGAAGAAGCACCGGCUAACUACGUG